rnacentral:siRNA from 1 species
AUGCACUUUUAUUCCUUUUGAGGC